AAAUAAGAAGCAAAAAUUGCAUUUAAUUUCGACUUAAAAGUAAGAGUAAUUACUCCUUAUUUA
rnacentral:tRNA from 1 species